AGAGUUUGAUCCUGGCUCAGGACGAACGCUGGCGGCGCGCUUAAUACAUGCAAGUCGAGCGAGAACCAGUCCUUCGGGACUGGGGAAAGCGGCGAACGGGUGAGUAACACGUGGGUAAUCUGCCCUCGGCACUGGGAUAGCCCGGGGAAACCCGGAUUAAUACCGGAUAGCCUUUCGAGCCUUCGGGCUUGUCAGAAAAGGUGGCUUCGGCUUCCGGCUGAGGAUGAGCCCGCGGCGGAUUAGCUUGUUGGUGAGGUAAUGGCUCACCAAGGCUCCGAUCUGUAGCUGGUCUGAGAGGACGAUCAGCCACACUGGGACUGAGACACGGCCCAGACUCCUACGGGAGGCAGCAGUGGGGAAUAUUGCGCAAUGGGCGAAAGCCUGACGCAGCGACGCCGCGUGUGGGAUGACGGCCUUCGGGUUGUAAACCACUGUCGGGAGGGACGAAUGCGCCGCAAGGCGAGUGACGGUACCUCCAAAGGAAGCACCGGCUAACUCCGUGCCAGCAGCCGCGGUAAUACGGAGGGUGCGAGCGUUGUCCGGAAUCACUGGGCGUAAAGGGCGCGUAGGCGGCCUGAUAAGUAGGGGGUGAAAUCCUGCGGCUUAACCGCAGGGCUGCCUUCUAAACUGUCAGGCUCGAGCACAGUAGAGGCAGGUGGAAUUCCCGGUGUAGCGGUGGAAUGCGUAGAGAUCGGGAAGAACAUCAGUGGCGAAGGCGGCCUGCUGGGCUGUUGCUGACGCUGAGGCGCGACAGCGUGGGGAGCAAACAGGAUUAGAUACCCUGGUAGUCCACGCCGUAAACGAUGGGCACUAGGCGUCGGGGGGAGCGACCCUCCCGGUGCCGUCGCUAACGCAGUAAGUGCCCCGCCUGGGGAGUACGGCCGCAAGGCUGAACUCAAAGGAAUUGACGGGGCCGCACAGCGGUGGAGCAUGUGGUUUAUUCGAAGCAACGCGAGACCUUACUGGGCUUGACAUGCACGAGAAUCCGGUGAAACAUCGACCUCUCGAGUCGUGCACAGUGCUGCAUGCUGUCGUCAGCUCUGUCGUGGAAUGUUUGGAUAGUCCGCACGGCCCAACCCUCGUCCUUAGUUUACCACCGGUAUGCGGCACUCUAGGAAUUGCGUUCUAACGAGAAUGUGGGAUGAGUUCAAGUAUCAUAUUGGCCUUCAUCGUCUCAGGGGCAUACACACGGGUCA
rnacentral:rRNA from 1 species